rnacentral:rRNA from 1 species
GACGAACGCUGGCGGCGUGCCUAAUACAUGCAAGUCGAGCGGAUCUUCAUUAGCUUGCUUUUGAAGAUCAGCGGCGGACGGGUGAGUAACACGUGGGCAACCUGCCUGUAAGACUGGGAUAACUUCGGGAAACCGGAGCUAAUACCGGAUAAUCCUUUUCCUCUCAUGAGGAAAAGCUGAAAGACGGUUUCGGCUGUCACUUACAGAUGGGCCCGCGGCGCAGUAGCUAGUUGGUGAGGUAACGGCUCACCAAGGCGACGAUGCGUAGCCGCCUUGAGAGGGUGAUCGGCCACACUGGGACUGAGACACGGCCCAGACUCCUACGGGAGGCAGCAGUAGGGAAUCUUCCGCAAUGGACGAAAGUCUGACGGAGCAACGCCGCGUGAGCGAUGAAGGCCUUCGGGUCGUAAAGCUCUGUUGUCAGGGAAGAACAAGUACCGGAGUAACUGCCGGUACCUUGACGGUACCUGACCAGAAAGCCACGGCUAACUACGUGCCAGCAGCCGCAGUAACAC